UGAGCCAAUACUGGCCUGACCCGUGGCACAUGGGAUUCUCCCAUUUUGAAGAAUUACAUGUUUUAGCUUCUCCACUCAGCAAAAGUAAGAACGACUAUCAAUUGAUGAUGCUCUCCAUUCACCAAAGGAGGAUUUUUCUUCCUCCACUCCUUCAAGGACACAGGUCCUAUCUCCUUAAAAAAUAAACUGUUUCUUUUUGCAUUAACGGUGAUCCAAACGAGGCCAAAAGGAAAAAAAAGGAAGAAAUCUUCAUUUGAGGAAAAAAGUCAGUAACACAGAAAAAUGUUUUUCCACUUCUUCACACAUCUAACUUCACUGUUACAACCUUUUAACCCCAUUUUCCGGCGACACCCCUUCCUCCCCUAAACCUUGCACCACCACAUAACUCCACCACCACUUCUUCCUCACCCUUACAACAACACCUCUAUUAUUCUUCGAUGAACCACCACAUAACAACCAUUUCACCUUCGCCGAACUCCCUCGCUGUCGACACACCUUGUCGCGACGUCGCCAACCUUAACCUCUUCUUCUUCUUCACCCACGAAACAACCACAUCACACGGUUUCAGACCAUACUCUAAUACACCCUCAUCUCCGAUACAAACAUAACUCACCCCAAACGUUUCGACAUCAUUCAGCUUUAUCGAUCCAAUUUCGAUCCAUCACCAUCAAUUUCACUUUCACGAUUAAAGUUUGGUGGUUCUGUUUUGAUUUCCUCUCGAUGUCGUGUUGUUGAUUUCCAGUAUCCAAUCAUCGGUUCAACGAUUCAGAUGGAGGUUUUUCAGUAUUGAGUGUUGCCGCUAUUAUGACGUUUGUGUUACUGCUCUGACUUGGGUCAAUCUGAGUCUUCGUUUUGAUUACGAUAAGCUUAGCCCCAUGAGUUACUCAACACCUCUCAUAUGUUAUAAUUCAUGUGACAUUGUAAGUAAAAUAAUUAGAUAUUGAUGUUUUAUUUUUCAUUGCAUGUUAACUCCGAUUUUUGAACAAUGGAUUCGGCAAUUUCAUGCCGAUAUUCCGCCAAAAUAUCAGUAUAUAAACGGAAUAUUUUCACCA